UACGUAGGGGCCUAGCGUUGUCCGGAAUUAUUGGGCGUAAAGAGCUCUGUAGGCGGUUCGGCAAGUCGGAUGUGAAAUACUCCACGCUUAACGUGGGAGGGGCCAUUCGAAACUGCUGUGACUCGAGUCCGGUAGGGGAGUGUGGAAUUCCCGGUGUAGCGGUGAAAUGCGCAGAUAUCGGGAGGAACACCAGUAGCGAAGGCGGAGCACGUCUGGGCCGGUACGU
rnacentral:rRNA from 1 species